rnacentral:rRNA from 1 species
AUGUUAAAGACUUUGAUACUCGACGACUGGUGUUUGCAUGCUGACCUCAGUGCUGUGAUUCAUUUUAUCCAACACUCGCCAAAUCUUGAGAAGGUUACUCUUAGAUUUAUUGAGGAAUUUGAUUCUUCAAUGGUGACAGAAGGAGAUAACAAUUUGUUGGAAGGAACAUUUUCAUCUGACCAUCUUAAAAUGGUUGAAAUCAAAUCUUUAAAGGUUGAUGGAAGAAUUAACAAAAUUCUCAAGAUCCUAAGUGCUUGUGGCAUAUCACUGGAAAAAAUCAAUAUCCGACAAGCCAAUACAAGUUCCUGA